rnacentral:lncRNA from 1 species
AAAAUCAUAAAAAAAAUUCAUAUUGGAGUAAAAAAAGUUAACAAUACAUAAAGAAACAUCUCUAAAUUCAUAUUAUCUAAAAAUACAAUCAACCAUACACUAAGAGUCUAAGACUUAGUUAUUUCUAUUGGAGGCCGCCCACGGUUACCCGCGAUUGGAAAUGGCAUAACCAGAACAGGAGUAGGCAGAUAAGGAGGCAUUGGAGAGAAGUAGGCAUGAUCGCCAACCAAGGCACUGAAAUCGAGAUAAUCAAUCGAAAGAGGGUUUAGUUAGGAGUCCGGGUUCCAUAGGUAAGUUGAAGGAAGGGAUCUAUCGCGGAUAAACAUCACUCGCGACUAAACAUCACUGGAACGAAGCGGAGUCACUUGACUUAGAAGAUGGGAUUGAGCUCAACUUCUUAUUUAUAAUACGAGAGGAGAGUCACAAGUCGAUAGGGAAAAAUAUUCAAG